rnacentral:tRNA from 1 species
GCACCCGUAGCUCAGCUGGAUAGAGCGCUGCCCUCCGAAGGCAGAGGCCACAGGUUCGAAUCCUGUCGGGUGC